rnacentral:rRNA from 1 species
AUGGGGUGCAGCAGGCGAGAAAACUUUGCAAUGUGCGAAAGCACGACAAGGUUAAUCCGAGUGUUUUCUGCUAAAGAAAUCUUUUGUUAGUUCUAAAUCCACUAUCGAAUAAGGGGUGGGCAAGUUCUGGUGUCAGCCGCCGCGGUAAAACCAGCACCUCAAGUGGUCAGGAUGAUUAUUGGGCCUAAAGCAUCCGUAGCCGGCUAUGUUAGUUUUCGGUUAAAUCCAUGUGCUCAACACAUGGGCUGUCGAAAAUACUGCAUAGCUAGGGAGUGGGAGAGGUAGACGGUACUCGGUAGGAAGGGGUAAAAUCCUUUGAUCUAUCGAUGACCACCAGUGGCGAAGGCGGUCUACCAGGACACGUCCGACGGUGAGGGAUGAAAGCUGGGGGAGCAAACCGGAUUAGAUACCCGGGUAGUCCCAGCUGUAAACUAUGCAAACUCAGUGAUGCAUUGGCUUGUGGCCAGUGCAGUGCCGCAGAGAAGUCGUUAAGUUUGCCGCCUGGGAAGUACGUACGCAAGUAUGAAACUUAAAGGAAUUGGCGGGGGAGCAC